UAUCCAUUGCGUGAGCUUGUUAAUUUGUUGGCUAAAAUUCUCUUUGUGUGUUGCUGGUGCCCCGUUUCGUUGUGCUGCAUACCUAUUUGUAGGUAUUCAGUUGGCUAAAACGUCCCUCUUCCGCCUCGUGCUGUGCCUCUACGGAUGCGGCGCGGGGUGGACCUGAAAGCGUUCGUCGCGUUCCACAUUCCGCGCAAGUACCGAUGUACGUGCUCGGGAUGUUGGCCCGUGYCGGCAAGCUCGAUCUCUCGGAUGCGGAACACUGAGYGGGUACGAGGCCACCAGGCCUCUAUUUGCCCCGAAAAACAAGCGUUCUACGCUUCUCGCGAACGACCGCCGCUAYCGCUCUGUGCGGGUCCUUGCGGCUCGUWYCAUGCGGUAGUGGCGUCGAUGAGGAAUGC
rnacentral:misc_RNA from 1 species